GACGAACGCUGGCGGCGUGCUUAACACAUGCAAGUCGAACGGAAAGGCCCUGCUUUUGUGGGGUGCUCGAGUGGCGAACGGGUGAGUAACACGUGAGUAACCUGCCCUUGACUUUGGGAUAACUUCAGGAAACUGGGGCUAAUACCGGAUAGGAGCUCCUGCUGCAUGGUGGGGGUUGGAAAGUUUCGGCGGUUGGGGAUGGACUCGCGGCUUAUCAGCUUGUUGGUGGGGUAGUGGCUUACCAAGGCUUUGACGGGUAGCCGGCCUGAGAGGGUGACCGGCCCCACUGGGACUGAGAGGCGGUGCAUACUCAUAGGGGAGGCAGCGGGAGGGGAUCUUCCGCACGGGGCGAAAGCCUGAAGGAGCACCGCCGCGUGAGUGAUGACGGUCCUCGGAGCGUAAAACUCUGUGAGUAGGGAAGAAAAACUGGGUAAGGAAAUAUGCACGUCUUGACGGUACCUAAUCAGAAAGCCACGGCUAACUACGUG
rnacentral:rRNA from 1 species